rnacentral:rRNA from 1 species
UAGAUAGAAAGAUUAAACUGAAGAGUUUGAUCAUGGCUCAGAUUGAACGCUGGCGGCAGGCUUAACACAUGCAAGUCGAACGAUGACUCUCUAGCUUGCUAGAGAUGAUUAGUGGCGGACGGGUGAGUAACAUUUAGGAAUCUACCUAGUAGUGGGGGAUAGCUCGGGGAAACUCGAAUUAAUACCGCAUACGACCUACGGGUGAAAGGGGGCGCAAGCUCUUGCUAUUAGAUGAGCCUAAAUCAGAUUAGCUAGUUGGUGGGGUAAA